AUUGAACGCUGGCGUCGUGCCUAACACAUGCAAGUCGAGCGGCAGCGCGGGGCAACCUGGCGGCGAGCGGCGGACGGGUGAGCAAUGUUUGGGAAUCUGCCUACUAGUGGGGGACAACCCGGGGAAACUCGGACUAAUACCGCAUACGCACUACGGUGGAAAGCGGGGGUCGCAAGACCUCGCGCUAGUAGAUGAGCCCAAAUCGGAUUAGCUAGUUGGUGAGGUAAUGGCUCACCAAGGCGACGAGCCGUAGCUGGUCUGAGAGGACGACCAGCCACACCGGAACUGAGACACGGUCCGGACUCCUACGGGAGGCAGCAGUGGGGAAUAUUGGACAAUGGGCGAAAGCCUGAUCCAGCGACGCCGCGUGGGUGAAGAAGGCCUGCGGGUUGUAAAGCCCUUUCGGUUGGGAAGAAAAGUCUCGGUCUAAUACACCGGGAUCUUGACGUAACCAACAAAAGAAGCACCGGCUAACUCUGUGCCAGCAGCCGCGGUAAUAC
rnacentral:rRNA from 1 species